GAUGAACGCUAGCGGCAGGCUUAACACAUGCAAGUCGCGGGGCAGCAUGGUGGUUGCUGCCAACGCCUGAUGGCGACGGGCGCACGGGUGAGUAACGUGUAUCCAACCUGCCCUUCACCACGGGAUAACUCGGCGAAAAUCGCACAAAUACCGUAUGUUGUCCAUUGACGGCAUCCGAGUUGGACGAAAGGCUUGGCGGGGAGAGGGUGGGGAUGCGUCGGAUUAGCUUGACGGUGGAGUAACAGCCCACCGUGGCUGCGAUCGGUAGGGGUCCUGAGAGGAAGGUCCCCCACGCUGGAACUGAGGCACGGUCCAGACUCGUACGGGAGGGAGCAGUGAGGUAGAUUAGUGGCUGAGCGUAAGCCUGAACCAGCCAAGUAGCGUGCAGAAGGACGGCGCUAUGGGUGGUAAACUGCUUUUGAGCGAGGAUAAAGUGGCCCACGUGUGGGCUUUUGCAGGUACCGCAUGAAUAAGGACCGGCUAAUUCCGUG
rnacentral:rRNA from 1 species